rnacentral:rRNA from 1 species
UAGGGAAUCUUCCACAAUGGACGAAAGUCUGAUGGAGCAACGCCGCGUGAGUGAUGAAGGUUUUCGGAUCGUAAAACUCUGUUGUAAGGGAAGAACAAGUACGAGAGGUAAUGCUCGUACCUUGACGGUACCUUGCGAGAAAGCCACGGCUAACUACGUGCCAGCAGCCGCGGUAAUACGUAGGUGGCAAGCGUUGUCCGGAAUUAUUGGGCGUAAAGCGCGCGCAGGCGGCCUUUUAAGUCUGAUGUGAAAGCCCCCGGCUCAACCGGGGAGGGUCAUUGGAAACUGGAAGGCUUGAGUACAGAAGAGAAGAGUGGAAUUCCAUGUGUAGCGGUGAAAUGCGUAGAGAUGUGGAGGAACACCAGUGGCGAAGGCGACUCUUUGGUCUGUAACUGACGCUGAGGCGCGAAAGCGUGGGGAGCAAACAGG